GCAUAUCAAUAAGCGGAGGAAAAGAAACCAACAGGGAUUGCCCUAGUAACGGCGAGUGAAGCGGCAACAGCUCAAAUUUGAAAUCUGGCGCAAGCCCGAGUUGUAAUUUGUAGAGGAUGCUUCUAGGUAGCGACCGGUCUAAGUUCCUUGGAACAGGACGUCAUAGAGGGUGAGAAUCCCGUAUGUGACCGGCCCGCACCUUCUACGUAGCUCCUUCGAAGAGUCGAGUUGUUUGGGAAUGCAGCUCUAAAUGGGAGGUAAAUUUCUUCUAAAGCUAAAUACCGGCCAGAGACCGAUAGCGCACAAGUAGAGUGAUCGAAAGAUGAAAAGCACUUUGGAAAGAGAGUUAAAAAGCACGUGAAAUUGUUGAAAGGGAAGCGCUUACAACCAGACUUCUGGGCGGUGUUCCGCCGGUCUUUUGACCGGUCUACUCUCCGUCCCGAGGCCAACAUCAUCUGGGACCGCUGGAUAAGACCUUAGGAAUGUAGCUCCCCUCGGGGAGUGUUAUAGCCUCUGGUGAUGCAGCGCGUCCCGGGUGAGGUCCGCGCUUCGGCAAGGAUGUUGGCGUAAUGGUUGUCAGCGGCCCGUCUUGAAACACGGACCAAGGAGUCUAACAUCUAUGCGAGUGUUCGGGUGUCAAACCCCUACGCGUAAUGAAAGUGAACGGAGGUGGGAAGCGCAAGCUGCACCAUCGACCGAUCCUGAUGUCCUCGGAUGGAUUUGAGUAAGAGCAUAGCUGUUGGGACCCGAAAGAUGGUGAACUAUGCCUGAAUAGGGUGAAGCCAGAGGAAACUCUGGUGGAGGCUCGCAGCGGUUCUGACGUGCAAAUCGAUCGUCAAAUUUGGGUAUAGGGGCGAAAGACUAAUCGAACCAUCUAGUAGCUGGUUCCUGCCGAG
rnacentral:rRNA from 1 species